CGUGCGGGAGCAACAAUGCUCGGCCAUCCGAGCGCCGAGCCUCCGGGCCCCACCCGGGCUCCGCGGCCGCCGGGCCCCGGACGGGAGGAGGGAGGGGCGGGGGAGAAGCGGCGGCCCGAAAGCAUCCCCCGAAAUCGGCGCCCGCCGGGAAUGUGGGGGCGACGGGCCGAGGCUCCGCACACGGUCGCUGGGCUUAGGGUUUGGUGCCUGGCCUUUUUUAUGGCAUGGGGAGGGGAGGGGAGGCAGCACCUAGUAAAUGAGAAAUUUCCUGUUCGCAAGACUCUGCUUGCAGAGUUUCUGUCCUGCCCUUGAACUGACAAGUGAAUAUCUGCAUCUCAACCAGGCAGAAAGUAAAUCACACGGCGCGAGACUCGGGCAGGGAGGCAAGGGAGAGAGGGAGGGAGGGAGGGAGGGGGAGGAGGAAGAGGAAGAGAGCCGUCUGCUCACCGCAGCUGGGUUGCUAAGAGCUCAGACUGGAGGAGGCCUGCUGUUUCCUCACGCGGCUAAGCCUAAGUCUCAGCCUCGACCGCCUUUGGAAGGCGGUGGCUACUCCUCUGGUUUAGCCUGGCCCGGCCCUGAGUGGGGGAGAGGUCCUCCUGGGUCCCCGAGCUCACACGUGAGAACCCGAGGCCUAGUGUAAGCACUUUGAUCCUUUCCUACCAGCCCGAGGAGGAGCCAGCGCAGAGUUGUGGCUUUUAACCCAUUGUGUGCCAAGAGGAUAGUGGACUAUGGGUUUUAUGGCAACCAAUUUGGCGUGGAUAGCAGAAAAGCGGGGAGACCUUGCUAAACCACCGGGAGAGCAGCUGGGUCGGGGGUGGGGAGCAAACUCUGCUAGAGAGCAGGCCUUGACUGAGACUAUGCCGGCCUUUUGGAGCAAGAAUUUCUAGUUACUAUGCACCACAGAUAACGUGGACUUGAAGGUCAGGAACUCGCCUUGCCCCGUGUCAGAGAAAGGCUUGCGGAGGCGGGGGGAGAGUGAGUGGUAGAAGGGAAGGGCUGAGGGUCCACACUGGAUUUUUACCAACCCUUGCCCACCUAUGAAGCCUGGGGACCUUUCCAGCUGCUCCCAGCUCCCUCUCCCCAGGUCAUGCCCCACCGUAAAGCUACUUUGGAAUAAGCCGGGCACCCGAGUUAAUGAUUGAUUUAUUGGCCUCGAGGCAUUGGGCCGGUCGGUCUCCUUUAUAUUUGCCUAAACUGGAGACUGGCUGUAAAAGCUCCCUUCGGCUGUAGCCACAGCUAGAGAGAGCGGGCCGUGGAAACCCCGGAGAGAAAAUCAAUGCAGCUGAAAUGAAGAAGUGGACAAUUUAUUAGACCGCAUCACGCGACACACGAUGUCAGGAUCACGAAACAGACCAAGGUCCGUGACGUCUAAAGGAAACAUUGGGAAGCGCCACACGUAAACGCUUUGGCAGCUGGUGAUUAGGUAGCCCAGUUUUAUGACUAAUAAUGGGCUGCUCGCCUGCCCUCCACAACCUGUUCGGUAUGAGCUGGGGCUGCCCGAGCACAGACCGAGGGAGGAGGGAAGAUGAAUGCUCUGCGGGAGUCCGGCAGCCCGCGUUGAUAAGGAUUUCCUCUAAUUUCUCGCAGAAGGCAACACAAACACCUUAAAUCAAACUGCUCCGACAACCGAAGUCUCCACACAGACACAUCAAUAAGGAUUUCGCCUCUUGCGUUCAAACCAGAAACACUUGUCCUAUUUUUAUGCAAAUGAAACCACACAAAUGGAUUUCGCCCGCUCUGAGGGAGGGAGGAGAUGGGAAGGGGGGAAAGAAAAGAGAGAAAGGGAGAGAAGCCAAGGCUAAACCUUUCCUCACUAGCACUCGAUGUACUGUAUUGGGAUAGGUGCGGGCUCCAUAUCCUGCGCCCUGCUGUUCCUCCCCCCAGCGGGGUGGCUCUAUGCCAGAACCUUGAAGUCAGCCACAAAUAAAUGCUGGCUGGGAAAGCCCGAUUAGGAAAAGGGGCGAAGUGAGUCUGUGACUAAUCGUAGAGGCCUCGGACGGACUACAAGGCCAUGUGCAUCUGACAUAAUCGACACUAAAAGAGGAGAUGGCUUAGCCGCACUUAAUUGCAGACUUAGAAAAAAUUGCCGGGUGAGCAGUGCCGAUAUAGAUUAUACGGACCCCGGGAGAUCUAGAAGUAACCCUGCUCUUGAGUUCAGCACGGAGGCCACCUCUUUUAAGAGGUAGCUUGUUUUUGUUUUUUAUGUAGUUGGCAGUGGGGAAGACUAGACAGGGGUGGGGUGGGGGGGGACAGUAAGCCUAGGGAGAGUAGUUUAGGGGCCUGCAGGUUCAAGAGAACGAAUAAAAGGUCUUUGUGGCCAACUUCACACUCCCUCCCUUUGAUUUUAUAUUUGCUUACCUUCACUCCCACUGCCCUCCGUUCCCCGUAAAGACAGAAACUAGAGCAAAACCUAUCACUAGCUGACUCCUCUUAGCAACAAGUCCCCUAGUUAAAAUUCUACGCCCCCCCCCUCUUCUUUCUCUCAUCCCAGGGUAAUCUGUGAAUCCUAUUUCACCGCCCCCCUCCCCAAUUCACCGAAGUUGUUUGGUCUAUUCUCUUUCUGAUCCUU
rnacentral:lncRNA from 1 species